rnacentral:rRNA from 1 species
GAUGAACGCUGGCGGCGCGCCUAACACAUGCAAGUCGAACGGCACCCACCUCCGGGUGGAAGCGAGUGGCGAACGGCUGAGUAACACGUGGAGAACCUGCCCCCUCCCCCGGGAUAGCCGCCCGAAAGGACGGGUAAUACCGGAUACCCCGGGCUGCCGCAUGGCACCCCGGCUAAAGCCCCGACGGGAGGGGAUGGCUCCGCGGCCCAUCAGGUAGACGGCGGGGUGACGGCCCACCGUGCCGACAACGGGUAGCCGGGUUGAGAGACCGACCGGCCAGAUUGGGACUGAGACACGGCCCAGACUCCUACGGGAGGCAGCAGUGGGGAAUCUUGCGCAAUGGGGGGAACCCUGACGCAGCGACGCCGCGUGCGGGACGGAGGCCUUCGGGUCGUAAACCGCUUUCAGCAGGGAAGAGUCAAGACUGUACCUGCAGAAGAAGCCCCGGCUAACUACGUGCCAGCAGCCGCCGCCGUAA